rnacentral:tRNA from 1 species
CGGGGUAUGGCGCAGUCUGGUAGCGCAUCUGCUUUGGGAGCAGAGGGUCGUAGGUUCGAAUCCUGCUGCCCCGACCA